rnacentral:rRNA from 1 species
GACAGAGGUGCCAAGCGUUAGGCGGAAUCACUGGGCUUAAAGCGUGUGUAGGCGGAUCGUUAAGUACCUUGUGAAAUCCCACGGCUCAACCGUGGAACUGCUCGGUAUACUGGCGGUCUUGAGCCACCUAGGGGCAACUGGAACAAGCGGUGGAGCGGUGAAAUGCGUAGAUAUCAGGAAGAACACCCGUGGCGAAGGCGGUUCUCUGGGACGGUACUGACGCUGAGACGCGAAAGCGUGGGGAGCGAACAGG